AGAUAAAAGCGAUCAUUGAUCAACCAUAAAUACUGGCUAAGUGAGACUCUCACUAUGUCUCCUUAGUGAAAACAUGCACCUGUCUGUAAAAAACAGAUUUUCAGUGUCCAGAUUUUCAGGGCAGGAAACAUGCAUUAGCUUUCCAGAGACUAACCCAGCUUAACCUUAGGAUCAGCUCUAGCUGUCUUUGCCA
rnacentral:lncRNA from 1 species